UGGGGAAUAUUGCACAAUGGGCGAAAGCCUGAUGCAGCAACGCCGCGUGAGUGAUGAAGGUCUUCGGAUUGUAAAACUCUGUCUUUUGGGACGAUAAUGACGGUACCAAAGGAGGAAGCCACGGCUAACUACGUGCCAGCAGCCGCGGUAAUACGUAGGUGGCGAGCGUUGUCCGGAUUUACUGGGCGUAAAGGGUGCGUAGGCGGAUGUUUAAGUGAGAUGUGAAAUACCCGGGCUUAANUUGGGUGCUGCAUUUCAAACUGGAUAUCUAGAGUGCAGGAGAGGAGAAUGGAAUUCCUAGUGUAGCGGUGAAAUGCGUAGAGAUUAGGAAGAACACCAGUGGCGAAGGCGAUUCUCUGGACUGUAACUGACGCUGAGGCACGAAAGCGUGGGUAGCAAACAGGAUUAGAUACCCUGGUAGUCCACGCCGUAAACGAUGAGUACUAGGUGUAGGAGGUAUCGACCCCUUCUGUGCCGCAGUAAACACAUU
rnacentral:rRNA from 1 species